AAAUCCCCUCGUCCGAUCCCCAACCUUCCCCCGAUCCCGUCGCCGCUGCUGCCUACCCCGCCUCCUACCGGUGCGCUACCACUCCCGCCUCCUUCCGGCGCGCCGUCAUCCCCGCCUCCUACCGGCGCGCCGCCGGACCCUCCUUCUUCCCUGGAGCACCGCCACCCCGCUGCCCUCGCCAUCUUCCCGAGCGCGCCGCUGCCGCCGUCUUUCCCAGAGCGCCACCGCCCCGCCACCCCCGCCCACGGGACCAGUGGUCCCAUCGCCGGUCUCCCCCCACCCAGAUCUGCCGGAGGCGCACCGGAUCCUGCCUCACGGCCGGUUCCUGCGACUCGGCCGCCGCCCCAACCGCUGCAGCAGCCGAACACCUCCACUAGGUGCCCCGGCGGUUCGGACCCCCACCUGGCCCCUCCCUCGAACCCAGCGAGCCUCCGCCCCGACCUACUUCCCGCGCGAGGUCGCCUCCGCCUCCUCCUGGCGCACCGCCGCCCCCACCAUCUCCACCUCCGCCUCCGCCGAUGCCUCCUUCUCCACCUCCGUUCGCAAGCGAUGGCGGCCGCGGUCUUCACCCCCAGCCACCAUGGCUGCAGAUCCACCCACGGCCGGUCGUCUAAGCUUCAAGCAUGGAUGGAUGGAUUCAGGAAGGUAUCCUUCCUCCCUGGGUGGAGCGAGCUGCAGAUCCCGUCCGGCCCUCCGGAACCGGCCGUCUCCGCCUCCUCCUCGCCGCCGCCGCUGGGGAUCACGUCUUCACCAAACGCGAGCUCCGCCCCAUCCGACCGACCGCAAAGGGAGAUAGGACAUGGCGGAAACAAAACUGCACGGCGAUGUGCAUUUCUGCAACACAUCAGGUCUACAUUUUCCAUUGCCCUGGACUUAUGAACGGAAGAAAAAGCAAUAUGAAGUUCCUGUCUGCAUCAAACUGCUUUCACUUAUAUUCUGCCGAAUUUCUUCCUUCUAUGGGACUGUACACGGGGAUUAUCUACAAGGGUUAUGUCCUUUGCAGGUAGAUUAUCUUAUAGGACGGGCGAAAUACAACAGAAGAAGCUCCUCCGCUGCUACUCGCCAAACUCCAAGCAAAAAGGACCUUCCACUUUCCUUGCUAAUGGGGCCUCAGUUUGUUCGGAAUCAGAUACAACCAUUUGAUCCAUUAUUGUUCGUGGGCAUCAUAUUUAAAAAAUAUAUCUUUUGGAUUUUGUAAAGUUUGCGGUUAAUAAGCCGGUGAGAGCUGAUGGUUCAGUUAGAUCCUGCAUUUACUUGACCUCUUUCUCUGUCAGGAGGAUAUUCAAUACCAAGAUUUAUGAUUUGGCAUAAGUGAGAUGACAUACAAGUGAGUUUAAUUCGUGAGAGUGAAAUAGCAACAGUUUAAUUAUCAUACCACCGGCAGCUGCACCUCAACUGCGGAAAAAGAAAUCUUGAAGAACCAAGACCACCACCAGCUGGAAGAAGAUUUCAUCCAGGAAAUUUAGUCCUAGGGACUUUGAUAUACAAUGAUACACCAAAGCAAGCAAAGAAGCCAAAAGAAGUUAAAUGUUUUUACCUGCUGCUGGCAUCCGAUGAGCAGUUGCAGGUGUCAACCAUAGGUAAUUCUUGUAAGAUACUUUCACAUUUCUCUAAUUUACUUAAGUAAAUCUUCAUCAGUUUGGCUUUAGGUGAAAAUGCCUGCUUGAGAAUUUAGGGAAAAUUACAUAUUACCUUUAGAGCUUUCAGUUCAUGAAGUAAUUGACCUCGUUUUUGCUUGUUUAUUCUGUAGUAUUGUUAUAUGAAGUGAGAGUUGCAUGUGCUUAUCUGAAGCUUAUACUAAUAAUUUGCCUCCCUAAUUGUGGCUGAUCUGGAGCUCAUACCCAUGUUGGGUGAGUAUCUCCCUCUCUGUUUGUUGGGCUGUCGGCAGCUCCUUUUUGCUGCGUCUCUGUAUACUAUAACCACUAUCCCUAAAAUAAGUAAACUAUAACCACACUCUUUGAUCAUAUUAUUUAGAAGAAAAAAGAUUAGAGAUGCAUUUAUUCAUAUUAAUGUAGACUGUGCCUGAUCCAAGAAAUAGAAGACUUAUACAUUGAUUGCAUCCACCGAUAAAAUCCCAAAUGUGUGUGGGCAAGACUAUCUUCGUGUUUUCAUAAUAUAAAAAAUAGUAGGUAAGUGUCAAUCUGUUGCUGGUUCAGAAUUUGAUAAGGUUGAAAACUUUGUAUGAAAAUCUUUGUAAUUCUUUUGAGUUGUGGAAGAGACAGCUGGGAUGACUUUGAUAAUAUGCAUUGGAUGGCGGAGGACGAAAAAUAAAUAAGGUGGGGCGGCUCUGAAGCAUAAAAAAAUUCCAAUGGAAAACGAAAGUAGUUCAUGCACACUAAAAUGCACACAAAUACUUUUUAAAAUCAUGCUAUUGUCCGGUCAUUUUCUCAAAAUGACACUAAAAUUUGAAUAAUAAUUACUUCUCUCCUUUUGCCUUCCAUUUUCCCGUCCAGUACAUUUUCCUCUUUUUAGUUCAUCGGAAAAAUUAACACAGCGGCCGCUAAAUUUUUUGAGAAGACGAACCAUGGAGAUUGGAGAUGAAGAGCUGAUCGCCGCCCCUGUGUACCUAUUCUGAUUGGAGUUCUUAUUACAGUUACAUGAUCAUGUGACAGCAUGGCAUCGAACAACACGGCCUUCACCUUAAUGCACCCCAAAGGUGGUCAUCGCCGAAGCACGCCAAGGGUGAGCCAUAACCAUACCGUUGACCCACCGGCGUGGUGAGGACAAAUUGCAUAGUAUCAUGUUUUUCAGUUAAAACCUGAGAACAGAAAGACGUAUCUAACACAGUAUGUAAAAUUUGUAAGCUCAUAUGAAAAUAGCUGAGAUCAAAUUAGGUAAGCACGUUCUUGCAAGCGAUGUAUUUUCUUACUUACGAGAAUUACCAGUUGCAUAUAUAAUAUACUGUAGUAGCCUAUAUUCAUGCA